rnacentral:sRNA from 1 species
UCGAGUGAGGAGCAUCCAAAAUUUAAGUUUUUAUUUCCGGAAAACAAAAAUUCAGUAAUUCAGUGUACAAAAAAAAAAAUUGUUUCCUAGUUUAAAAUUUGUUUGUUACUUUUUGGACACACGAACUCAAAGAAUGACUCUUGGGAAGGGAAGGCGGCUCUUCAAAUAAAGAAAGGCGAUCGUGAUGGUACCGGGAUAUCCAAACAAAUACUCCCCCAGUUCGGAUUACCAGUGGCUUGCAUCAAUAUUAAUAAUCACUAUAUUAAGCACUAUAUUAAGCACAGAGAAAGGGAAGGAACGAAAUGGAAGGAUGGUGACCCUUCAGACGAGGGAAGGACAUCGUGAUGGUACCUGGAAUAUCCGAUCAGUUAUUCCCUCAGUUCGGAUAUACAGUGGCUCGCAUCAAUAUUAAUAAUCACUAUAUUAAGCACUAUAUUAAGCACAGAGAAAGAGAAGGAAGGAAAUGGAAGGAUGGUGACCCUUCAGACGAGGGAAGGACAUCGUGAUGGUGCCUGGAAUAUCCGAUCAGUUAUUCCCCCAGUUCGGAUUCCCAGUGGCUUGCAUCAAUACCAAAUAAACAUUAUGCAACGAGAUCAAGACCGAAUAAAUCACUAUAUUAAGCACUAUAUUAAGCACAGAGAAAGGGAAGGAAGGAAAUGGAAGGAUGGUGAUCCUUCAGACGAAGGAAGGACAUCGUGAUGGUACCUGGAAUAUCCGAUCAGUUAUUCCCUCAGUUCGGAUAUACAGUGGCUUCCAUCAAUGCCAAAUAAACAUUAUGCAACGAGAUCAAGACCGAAUAAAUCACUAUAUUAAGCACUAUAUUAAGCACAGAGAAAGGGAAGGAAGGAAAUGGAAGGAUGGUGAUCCUUCAGACGAAGGAAGGACAUCGUGAUGGUACCUGGAAUAUCCGAUCAGUUAUUCCCUCAGUUCGGAUAUACAGUGGCUCGCAUCAAUACCAAAUAAACAUUAUGCAACGAGAUCAAGACCGAAUAAAUCACUAUAUUAAGCACUAUAUUAAGCACAGAGAAAGGGAAGGAAGGAAAUGGAAGGAUGGUGAUCCUUCAGACGAAGGAAGGACAUCGUGAUGGUACCUGGAAUAUCCGAUCAGUUAUUCCCUCAGUUCGGAUAUAUAGUGGCUUCCAUCAAUACCACAUAAACAUUAUGCAACGAGAUCAAGACCGAAUAAUUCACUAUAUUAAGCACUAUAUUAAGCACAGAGAAAGGUAAGGAAGGAAAUGGAAGGAUGGUGAUCCUUCAGACGAGAGAAGGACAUCGUGAUGGUACCUGGAAUAUCCGAUCAGUUAUUCCCUCAGUUCGGAUAUACAGUGGCUCGCAUCAAUACCAAAUAAACAUUAUGCAACGAGAUCAAGAACGAAUAAAUCACUAUAUUAAGCACUAUAUUAAGCACAGAGAAAGGGAAGGAAGGAAAUGGAAGGAUGGUGAUCCUUCAGACGAGGGAAGGACAUCGUGAUGGUACCUGGAAUAUCCGAUCAGUUAUUCCCUCAGUUCGGAUAUACAGUGGCUUCCAUCAAUACCAAAUAAACAUUAUGCAACGAGAUCAAGACCGAAUAAAUCACUAUAUUAAGCACUAUAUUAAGCACAGAGAAAGGGAAGGAAGGAAAUGGAAGGAUGGUGAUCCUUCAGACGAAGGAAGGACAUCGUGAUGGUACCUGGAAUAUCCGAUCAGUUAUUCCCUCAGUUCGCAUAUACAGUGGCUUCCAUCAAUACCAAAUAAACAUUAUGCAACGAGAUCAAGACCGAAUAAAUCACUAUAUUAAGCACUAUAUUAAGCACAGAGAAAGGGAAGGAAGGAAAUGGAAGGAUGGUGAUCCUUCAGACGAAGGAAGGACAUCGUGAUGGUACCUGGAAUAUCCGAUCAGUUAUUCCCUCAGUUCGGAUAUACAGUGGCUCGCAUCAAUACCAAAUAAACAUUAUGCAACGAGAUCAAGACCGAAUAAAUCACUAUAUUAAGCACUAUAUUAAGCACUAUAUUAAGCACUAUAUUAAGCACUAUAUUAAGCACAGAGAAAGGGAAGGAAGGAAAUGGAAGGAUGGUGAUCCUUCAGACGAGGGAAGGACAUCGUGAUGGUACCUGGAAUAUCCGAUCAGUUAUUCCCUCAGUUCGGAUAUACAGUGGCUCGCAUCAAUACCAAAUAAACAUUAUGCAACGAAAUCAAGACCGAAUAAAUCACUAUAUUAAGCACUAUAUUAAGCACUAUAUUAAGCACUAUAUUAAGCACAGAGAAAGGGAAGGAAGGAAAUGGAAGGAUGGUGAUCCUUCAGACGAAGGAAGGACAUCGUGAUGGUACCUGGAAUAUCCGAUCAGUUAUUCCCUCAGUUCGCAUAUACAGUGGCUUCCAUCAAUACCAAAUAAACAUUAUGCAACGAGAUCAAGACCGAAUAAAUCACUAUAUUAAGCACUAUAUUAAGCACAGAGAAAGGGAAGGAAGGAAAUGGAAGGAUGGUGAUCCUUCAGACGAAGGAAGGACAUCGUGAUGGUACCUGGAAUAUCCGAUCAGUUAUUCCCUCAGUUCGGAUAUACAGUGGCUUCCAUCAAUACCAAAUAAACAUUAUGCAACGAGAUCAAGACCGAAUAAAUCACUAUAUUAAGCACUAUAUUAAGCACAGAGAAAGGGAAGGAAGGAAAUGGAAGGAUGGUGAUCCUUCAGACGAAGGAAGGACAUCGUGAUGGUACCUGGAAUAUCCGAUCAGUUAUUCCCUCAGUUCGGAUAUACAGUGGCUUCCAUCAAUACCAAAUAAACAUUAUGCAACGAGAUCAAGACCGAAUAAAUCACUAUAUUAAGCACUAUAUUAAGCACAGAGAAAGGGAAGGAAGGAAAUGGAAGGAUGGUGAUCCUUCAGACGAAGGAAGGACAUCGUGAUGGUACCUGGAAUAUCCGAUCAGUUAUUCCCUCAGUUCGGAUAUACAGUGGCUCGCAUCAAUACCAAAUAAACAUUAUGCAACGAGAUCAAGACCGAAUAAAUCACUAUAUUAAGCACUAUAUUAAGCACAGAGAAAGGGAAGGAAGGAAAUGGAAGGAUGGUGAUCCUUCAGACGAAGGAAGGACAUCGUGAUGGUACCUGGAAUAUCCGAUCAGUUAUUCCCUCAGUUCGGAUAUACAGUGGCUCGCAUCAAUAUUAAUAAUCACUAUAUUAAGCACUAUAUUAAGCACAGAGAAAGGGAAGGAAGGAAAUGGAAGGAUGGUGAUCCUUCAGACGAAGGAAGGACAACGUGAUGGUACCUGGAAUAUCCGAUCAGUUAUUCCCUCAGUUCGGAUAUACAGUGGGUCGCAUCAAUACCAAAUAAACAUUAUGCAACGA